AUUGAACGCUGGCGGCAUGCCUUACACAUGCAAGUCGAACGGUAACAGGUCUUCGGAUGCUGACGAGUGGCGAACGGGUGAGUAAUACAUCGGAACGUGCCUAGUAGUGGGGGAUAACUACUCGAAAGAGUGGCUAAUACCGCAUGAGAUCUACGGAGGAAAGCAGGGGAUCGCACGACCUAGUGUUAGUAGAGCGGCCGAUGGCAGAUUAGGUAGGUGGUGGGAUAAAAGCUUACCAAGCCGACGAGCUGUAGCUGGUCUGAGAGGACGAUCAGCCACACUGGGACUGAGACACGGCCCAGACUCCUACGGGAGGCAGCAGUGGUGAAUUUUGGACAAUGGGCGCAAGCCUGAUCCAGCAAUGCCGCGUGCAGGAUGAAGGCCUUCGGGUUGUAAACUGCUUUUGUACGGAACGAAAAGCCCUGGGUUAAUACCCUGGGGUCAUGACGGUACCGUAAGAAUAAGCACCGGCUAACUACGUGCCAGCCGCCGCCGUAACAC
rnacentral:rRNA from 1 species